rnacentral:rRNA from 1 species
UUCCGCCCCUUAGUGCUGCAGCUAACGCAUUAAGCACUCCGCCUGGGGAGUACGACCGCAAGGUUGAAACUCAAAGGAAUUGACGGGGGCCCGCACAAGCGGUGGAGCAUGUGGUUUAAUUCGAAGCAACGCGAAGAACCUUACCAGGUCUUGACAUCCUUUGACCACUCUGGAGACAGAGCUUUCCCUUCGGGGACAAAGUGACAGGUGGUGCAUGGUUGUCGUCAGCUCGUGUCGUGAGAUGUUGGGUUAAGUCCCGCAACGAGCGCAACCCUUGAUUUUAGUUGCCAGCAUUUAGUUGGGCACUCUAAAGUGACUGCCGGUGCAAGCCGGAGGAAGGUGGGGAUGACGUCAAAUCAUCAUGCCCCUUAUGACCUGGGCUACACACGUGCUACAAUGGAUAGUACAAAGGGUCGCGAAGCCGCGAGGUGGAGCUAAUCCCAUAAAACUAUUCUCAGUUCGGAUUGUAGGCUGCAACUCGCCUACAUGAAGCCGGAAUCGCUAGUAAUCGUGGAUCAGCAUGCCACGGUGAAUACGUUCCCGGGCCUUGUACACACCGCCCGUCACACCACGAGAGUUUGUAACACCCGAAGUCGGUAGGGUAACCUUUAUGGAGCCAGCCGCCGAAGGUGGGACAGAUGAUUGGGGUGAAGUCGUAACAAGGUAGCCGUAUCGGAAGGUGCGGCUGGAUCACCUCCUUUCUAAGGAA